rnacentral:rRNA from 1 species
GACGAACGCUGGCGGCGUGCUUAACACAUGCGAGUCGAACGGAAAGGCCCUGCUUUUGUGGGGUGCUCGAGUGGCGAAAGGGUGAGUAACACGUGAGUAACCUGCCCUUGACUUUGGGAUAACUUCAGGAAACUGGGGCUAAUACCGGAUAGGAGCUCCUGCUGCAUGGUGGGGGUUGGAAAGUUUCGGCGGUUGGGGAUGGACUCGCGGCUUAUCAGCGUGUUGGUGGGGUAGUGGCUUACCAAGGCUUUGACGGGUAGCCGGCCUGAGAGGGUGACCGGCCACAUUGGGACUGAGAUACGGCCCAGACUCCUACGGGAGGCAGCAGUGGGGAAUAUUGCACAAUGGGCGGAAGCCUGAUGCAGCAACGCCGCGUGCGGGAUGACGGCCUUCGGGUUGUAAACCGCUUUCGCCUGUGACGAAGCGUGAGUGACGGUAAUGGGUAAAGAAGCACCGGCUAACUACGUG